rnacentral:misc_RNA from 1 species
AAAAAAGAAAAAACUGCUUUCGAUGUGAAGCUAGAGAAGUUUGACGCUGCUUCAAAAAUUAAGGUGAUUAAAGAAGUAAGGUCUUUCACUAAUCUGGGUCUGAAGGAGGCAAAAGACUUGGUAGAGAAAGUACCUGCAAUUCUUAAGCAAGGGGUGACCAAGGAGGAAGCAAAUGACAUCAUUGAAAAACUCAAAGCUGCUGGAGGAGUUGCUGUGAUGGAGUAAAAAGUUCUAAAGUUGGUAGUAGCUUUUUGUUUAUAUCUUUCCAACUAGCCAAUUCCUUGCUUCAAUCACCGAAUAUUCUUAUGUGAGUUGAUGUUGUUGCCAGCCAGUUGAUUUCCAAAAAGGACGAAG